rnacentral:rRNA from 1 species
CCUACGGGAGGCUGCAGUAGGGAAUAUUGCGCAAUGAGGGAAAGCCUGAUGCAGCGACGCAGCGUGCAGGAUGAAGUAUUUCGGUUUGUAAACUUCUAUCGUAAGGGAAGAAAAUAUCGAUACCUGACUAAGAAACCCCGGCUAACGACGUACCAGAAGCCGCGGUCAUACGUAGGGGGACAGCGUUAUCCGGAUUUACUGGGAGGAAAGUGAGCGGAGGCGGUUUAGCAAGUCAGAAGUGAAGGGCCGGGGCUCAACUCCGGGACCGCUUUUGAUACUGGUGAACUAGAGUGCAGGAGAGGUAAGCGGAAUUCUUAGUGAAGCGGUGAAAUGCGUAGAUAUUAGGAGGAACACCAGCGGCGAAGGCGGUUUACUGGACUGUAAAUGACGCUGAGGAUCGAAAGCGUGGGGAGCAAACAGGAUUAGAUACCCGAGUAGUC